AACCAAAGGCCGCCGCUGCUCACACUUAUUCUCCUCUCUUAUGCCUUAGUGCUCCUGUUAUGGCAUUGAUUGUCUGGAAUUUGCUUGGACUCUCUGAAUUUUGGAAAAAAGAAAGUGUUUUUAUUUUAGUUUUGUUGGUGUAAUUAGACGAUAUGUAGUAUGUCAAAAAUUUGAAUCCAGUCAAGUUAAUUUGGUGUGUGCAUAUUAGAUAACCGAUAUUUGAUAUUAUAGUUAUUUGUUUAUGGAUCAUAGAUCUCAUUUCUUCUAACUUCAUUGACAUCAUCAUCCUUUUUUUGUUUUGUUUUUUGUUGUUGUUGUUGUUGUUGUAUUUAACAAUGUAAUUGCAAACAGGGAACAAAGGUGAAGAACCUGUUGAAGAAAAAGGUGAAGAACCUGUUGAAGAAAAAUGUGAACCUCCCAAGUCAAACCUCAAGGUGCCUACGUAUCCUUUUACGGAAAUCAGAACCAAAGGCUGAUCUUGAUAGCACCUACAUUCCUUUCAUCCAGCACUCUCGUCCUAUUGGUGAAUGCAAGUAUUGUUUAAAGGUGGGUGAGCACGUGACGCAACCAUGCCCUUACCAAGAUCGUGUCCCAAAGAAUGCAAUUCUCGGCAGUGGUUGUGAUGUAGUUUGUAGAGUAUGUGGUUGGUUCUUUAGAGGGUCCUGUUGUGGCCAAGAUGAAGGACGUGCGGUUCUCAAGAAUUGUAUUUCUGUCAAGCGUUGUCUGAAAUCGUAGAGAAUGGAGUAGCUACUGUUUCUCUAAAGUUAAUUAUGAUUUAAAGCAUAAAUAGACAUUUUAUUUUUCUAA